rnacentral:rRNA from 1 species
CACACUGGGAUUGAGAACGGCCCAGACUCCUACGGGGGGCAGCAGUGAGGAAUCUUCGGCAAUGGGGGCAACCCUGACCGAGCAACGCCGCGUGCGGGAUGACGCCUUUCGGGGUGUAAACCGCUUUUCCCGGAGACGAGACAGGACGGUAUCCGGGGAAGAAGCCUCGGCUAACUACGUGCCAGCCGCCGCAGUAAUAC